rnacentral:rRNA from 1 species
UGGGGAAUAUUGGACAAUGGGGGCAACCCUGAUCCAGCAAUGCCGCGUGUGUGAAGAAGGUCUUCGGAUUGUAAAGCACUUUCGACGGGGACGAUGAUGACGGUACCCGUAGAAGAAGCCCCGGCUAACUUCGUGCCAGCAGCCGCGGUAAUACGAAGGGGGCUAGCGUUGCUCGGAAUGACUGGGCGUAAAGGGCGUGUAGGCGGUUUACACAGUCAGAUGUGAAAUCCCCGGGCUUAACCUGGGAGCUGCAUUUGAUACGUGUAGACUAGAGUGUGAGAGAGGGUUGUGGAAUUCCCAGUGUAGAGGUGAAAUUCGUAGAUAUUGGGAAGAACACCGGUGGCGAAGGCGGCA